AAAGUUUUGACAAAAUUUAAUCCAAUUCAUUUAUCUUCCAAAGAAAAUCAUUUCAAAAGAAAAAAAAUCUUCCAAAAGAAAAUGACAUCAUUCACGAAAGAAUUGUCAACCCCCUUCUAUUUUUAUAGUUCUCCCACCGUCUCCCAUCUGCUCCUUUUUCCUCUCCAUUGUCCAUUUUAUUUUUCUUUUUCUUUUGCUCUACAAACAGUCGGAUAACUUCUCCUCGGAAUUUGGCAUCACUUUAUACUUAAAGUUGCGAAAUGAGAAUGACAAUGGUUUUGAAGCGCGCUCCACCGAUAUCGUACACUGCUUUAUGGCGAUCGAUAACGUUGGUGUAAUUUAAAUUGAGAAAAAAAGAUAUUGGCUGGAAAAUCAACAUGUAAGAGAAGCAACCAUGAAAUAGAUACAGAGGAGAAAAGAAGAGGCGCUCAACAGGGGAGGCGGCGCAAAUAAAUUGCAAAACCCUAAA
rnacentral:lncRNA from 1 species